AGAGAGAGAGAAAAAAAUGAGCCAGCUUGCCAUUGAUUAGUUAGAGAAACUUAAAAAGACGUUCAGAUUCUAUAUAUUUGUCUCUACAUAGGGGAGCACAGGAAGAUUAAGAGGACUUUACUGAAGAGAAAUGAAUAAGCUUCAUAGGUCCCAUGUCACUGGGAAAAAUGGGAAUGCAGUUAAAUAAGUUAGGACUGUUAAAAGCAUCUAAUUACUAUAUGAUGAACCCCCUUUUUUCCCUUAAAUAGGAGCAUAAUUAUUAAAAGUUCUUGAAACCCUGGAAUUGCAGCUACUUUUAAGGCAUGAGGCAGAUUUGAAAUUCUGAGCAGCAGGCUAAAACUUUCAUUUGAAAACUGCUCAGUAGCAAAUUUUAAUAUGAAACAAACAAAAAAAUCCAUUUGGUCCAAACCUGUGUUAUUUAUUUUUAUUUUUUGCAUUUACCUCAAUCGAUUCAUGACUAUCUUUUGUAAUAACAACCUUAAAAAGAUAAUAGUGAUAGCAAUCACUAGAUUCCUUAAUCAUUUUAUUUUCUUUGGAUCUUAUCCAGCAUCCCUUUAUGUCUUGACUUGUAACUACCAAAAUUAAAGACAAUUUGAGAGCAGAAAUAUGCUUCAAGUCUUCCUCACCUGAUAAUGAAAUCAGGAAUUCAUUGUUUCUGUAAAUCCUCAUUAAACUCUAACUUUUAAGACUAAUUUUUUUUUGCACUCCAUUCAUUUGGUGAAACAUUAAUUAAGCUAAUGGCAGGGCAGCAUCUCCCAGAGCCACUCUGAGUCAGUCCCUGAGCAAUAGCACACAUUAUUAACCUCUUCAGGUUUUAGAGCCCCUAUUUUGCUCGAUGAAGCAGUAAUUUCAGGGAAUAGCAUUUAAUGAAGUUUCCCCAGGUGUUGAACUUUCUAGGAGAACUUUGAAUUCCUUUUAAGUGCAAGGAAAAAAUAAAGAAGGUUUUUUGUUGUUGUUUAAAAAAACAUUUUUAAUGCUGUGAAUUAAAACAGAAUGUUGGUUGAGGUCCUCAAUGCUUAUUGAGCCAAUAUUAACCUGAAUCAUCGUGACCAUUGGCUUACUGAAAAACAGGUGUGGACUUCUCAGUUAACUGCAAUUGAUAUGAUAAGUAAGUACUGAGCAAAACCUGCAUUUCUUUUUCAUCUGAAAAUGGGACUAUUACUAUUAUGUCUAAGGCUUUAAACUAACAUCACAGAUUUUAACACCUUUGUGAAAUGAUGAAAUAAAGUUACUUUUCUAUUCCUAAAUCAAAUGUUUUAAUUUUUGAUGCAAUAAAAUUAACCAUUUUAUAAUUAUGGCUUUAUUGAAGAAAGCUUUCUUACCAACUGUCUCUGAAAACUCAAUCAUAGUGAUAAAAUGCUGUCGUCACACCAUCACUGACAUGAGGCAUCUCCUUGUGUACUUGAUAGAUGCUCAGCAAGUAGUUAUUGAUAUGUUGAGGGUGUAUGUGGUAAUGGCCUCUUUCUGUGUAAUGUUUCCUUUGUAGUCAAAUUCUCAACAAUUUUUACUGUAUUUUAGUUAUUAGCUACACUGUUCUAUUUGUCUUUAAAAACUAUUUUUAUUAGAUUUAAUUCAAAUGUCAAAACUUGUGCUAGGAAGAUAUACUAAAAUAUGUUCAUGUGUGAAGUCUUUCCCUUUUAAACAUAUACUUUCAUAUCUUGAACUAUUAAAGAAAGAAACAGUUACACUAUUUUUUUUUCAGGGCCUGGAAACAGGGAGCUGGAGAAGGGGACUUUUCUCUAAGUAAUUCAGCAAAUAUUUAUAAAGUACACCUUCUGAGCCAGAUGCUACGCAAAGUAUUGAUGAUGUAGGGACGUGAUCCUUGUCUAUAAAUUUUACAAUCUAGUGGACAAGCAAGGCAUUUAACGUGUGCAUGUGUGUGUGUGUGUAUUUACUUAGAUUGUCAUGAGUGAUUUGAAAGAAAAGGAUGCUAUGAGAGAGAAUUUACAAGAGGGAACUAAUUUAAUUGGCAGAGGCAGUUUAAGGAGGCCUCUUCAAGGAGGUUGUAUUUGAACUGAAACUUGAGGGGAUGAAUCAGGUAGGUAGGCAUAAGCGGAGGAAAAUGUUCCAGGUAGAGGAGCCGGCAUGUGCAAAAGUCUGGAGGCUGUCAGGAUUUUGGCUUACUGGGAGACGGGAGAGAAAACCGGCACUGCUGCUCAGAUGCAGAGAGGGGGAGCAACGAAUGUGGGUGAAGUUGGAGAAUGCGCAUGUCAGAACAUACAAGACUUGCUAUUUUGAGUUUUGUUCCAAAGUACAAGGAGAAAUUAUUGAAGGAUUUUUAAGCAGAGGAGUGAUAGUAUCUGUUUUUGUUUUCAUGUAGAUAUCUCACUGGUUGGUGAAGAGGAGAAUGGGUAGGGAGUGGCCUAAAGCAACAAUAAACAGUCCAGCUGAGCGGUAGCACUGAUGUGGACUACGCUAGUGAUAGUAGAAAUGGAGAGAAGUGGAAGCAUUUUGUAUAUAUGAGUAUUUGGGGAUUGGAUGAUGGGUUAAAUAUGGGGACAAGGAUAUAAUCUGGAAUUAAUCUCAGUGUCUGGUGGCAUGAGCCACAGGGUGGAGGAUAAAGAACUCUAGAAAGGAGCAAGUUUGGUGGGAAGAUUAAGAGUUUAGUUUCUGGAUGAAGUAACUUUUAUGUUGUAGUGGAGAUUUUUAGCACAUGUGUUAAAUUUGGGGAUUAUUAGAAUACAGAUGGUAUUUACAUCUUUGUGAAUGGAUGUGAUCACCUAGGGAGGGAAGGUGAACAAAGGGAAACCAGGACCUAACCCAGGGGAACUCUAAAAUUUAGAGCUUGACUAGAUUGUGUAUGGAGAAGUCACAAAAGAGACUGACAAAGAACAGCUAGCGAGGCAUGAGGAAAAUAUUGACAGGAAUGAAUGCUAUGAAAGUUCAAAUAAGUUUUUCAGUAAGAAUUAGACCCACUCUUGAGUCAUAUAAGCUUGCAUUACUUUUAAAAUUGUAUGUGUAUAUACAUCUUUUUUUUUUUUCUAGACAAUGCCUUUUUAUGUAUUGGUAUCCAAAAAUCCAAAAUACACUCUAACUUAAGUGAACCAGUGAUAUAACCUUGGGUGAACUCUCUUUUAAACUAAUUUUCCUUAACAUACAACUACUAUAAAGGUGUUUAAACACACAUACUAAAUGCAUACACAGUGGAUAAUAUAUGUCCAACAUGCGGAGUGCAAGGAGACAUGGCUUUUAUAAAGCCUGAUGUUUUUAAGUUGCCUCUGUUGUUUGGAUUAGUAGAAUUUUAAGAAAUAUAAAUAUCAAGGUUGCAUUUAAUUUAGUUUUGAUUGUGUAUUUGUUCUGGUAUCUCACAACUUGGAAAGGUAGGAAUUGCUGUGUAUAAGUGUUUUAUUUCUGCUUCCUGGCUGGGUAAUGUAGCUGAACCAAUCAGAUCUCAGGAAUAUGUCUGUAUUCCCCCUGAACCAAUCAUAUCUUAGGGAUAUGUCUGCAUGCCUCAGCCCUUUUACAUUUGUAGUAGCUCAUGUGGCUGAAUUAUCUUGCUAAACGAUGGGAUGUUUCCUAUUGGAAGAAUAAUAAAAUGGAGAGGGCAUGGAUUUGGAUUCAAUCUCAGGUCUAAUACU